CCUACGGGAGGCAGCAGUGAGGAAUAUUGGUCAAUGGCCGAGAGGCUGAACCAGCCAAGUCGCGUGAGGGAAGACGGCCCUACGGGUUGUAAACCUCUUUUGUCGGGGAGCAAAUCGAGUCACGUGUGCCUCAUUGAGAGUACCCGAAGAAAAAGCAUCGGCUAACUCCGUGCCAGCAGCCGCGGUAAUACGGAGGAUGCGAGCGUUAUCCGGAUUUAUUGGGUUUAAAGGGUGCGUAGGCGGGUCGUUAAGUUAGGGGGGAAAGCCCGGGGCUCAACUCCGGAACUGCCUCUGAUACUGGCGGGCUAGAGUGUAGUUGCGGUAGGCGGAAUGUAUGGUGUAGCGGUGAAAUGCAUAGAGAUCAUACAGAACACCGAUUGCGAAGGCAGCUUACCAAACUACGACUGACGUUGAGGCACGAAAGCGUGGGGAGCAAACAGGAUUAGAUACCCUGGUAGUC
rnacentral:rRNA from 1 species